GCUGGGUGCUGUGGUGCAUUCUUGUAAUCCCAGCUACUUGGGAGGCUGAGGCAAGAGGAUCACUGAGGCCAUGAGUUUGAGACCAACCAGGACAACACAGUGAGACCUGUCUUAA
rnacentral:sRNA from 1 species